GAUAAGUUCCAGGUCGACGGGUUCAAACAGAAAUAUUUUGAAAGCAGAGAACACUGUGCAUCUUAUAAUCGGCAUGACUUAUCAGAUGACAAUCCAAUACUAAAAUAAGGCUUACGCAUAGUUAUAUACUUUAAUUCAGUCGCGGACCAGCGAUAUCACGGGUGUGUUCUAGUGUGUACUAAGUUUCAAGUUGAUUGAACUUCAACUUUAUCAACCAGAUGCUCCACAGGGCGCAGCUUUAUACGACCGCAGAGUUCGAACCCUGAACAGUUGGGGCAAGUAUAGACACAACAUUCAAGCUUGAUACAGCUCUGAAUUUGGAUUGUGAUUAAAUAAUUGACACAACAUAGGUUUCUGACACAGAAUGAAUGUGGUCUAAGAACUUAAAAAAAUUUAAAUUGGACAUUUACCUAUUAUGGUCUAAUAUCCAAA
rnacentral:lncRNA from 1 species